rfam:Schistosoma mansoni strain Puerto Rico chromosome 3, complete genome
AAACCUAGCUUCGGUGGUAUAUAUACUAAGAUUGGAACGAUACAGAAAAGAGUAGCCUGGCCCCUGCACAAGGAUGACACGCAAAAUCGUGAAGCGUCCCAUAUUUUU